rnacentral:rRNA from 1 species
CCUACGGGAGGCAGCAGUGGGGAAUCUUGCGCAAUGGGCGAAAGCCUGACGCAGCCAUGCCGCGUGUAUGAUGAAGGUCUUAGGAUUGUAAAAUACUUUCACCGGUGAAGAUAAUGACUGUAGCCGGAGAAGAAGCCCCGGCUAACUUCGUGCCAGCAGCCGCGGUAAUACGAAGGGGGCUAGCGUUGCUCGGAAUUACUGGGCGUAAAGGGAGCGUAGGCGGACAUUUAAGUCAGAGGUGAAAUCCCGGAGCUUAACUUCGGAACUGCCUUUGAUACUGGGUGUCUUGAGUGUGAGAGAGGUAUGUGGAACUCCGAGUGUAGAGGUGAAAUUCGUAGAUAUUCGGAAGAACACCAGUGGCGAAGGCGACAUACUGGCUCAUUACUGACGCUGAGGCUCGAAAGCGUGGGGAGCAAACAGGAUUAGAUACCCUGGUAGUCCACGCCGUAAACGAUGAUUGCUAGUUGUCGGGAAGCUUGCUUCUCGGUGACGCNGCUACGCAUAGACAUCCGCCGUGGGAGUACGGUCGCAGAUAAACUACAANAGAGUUAGACGGCGUGAGACGUGCCGACGGACGACGACGAGGGAGGUUAGG